UCCACACAUCCAGCGUUAAAGAAUAUAACACAUUGUGUUCAGUCUUUGAACGCACAUGUUCAAGACAAGUGUUCUAAAUUGAACACUAGAAAUGUUCUAAUAUUGUAAUGGGGAGUGAAAAAAUAUUUCAUCGCUUCAGAGUCAAACAGACGAUGAAUAAGGGUGAUUGGCACUAUAAUUUGACGAUAAAUGUAUUUUAGCUGUAUCAACAUAAGCAAAUUAUAGUUUGGUAAAAAAAAUGAAAGAGCGUAUUUAUAUAAGCGUGCAAAUGAUUGAUUUUUAGUAUAAAUCUUCUUUCUAAAGGACUUAAGUUCUUUGGGUAUAUUUUUUUACAAUGUAAAUGUGUAAAUGCUCAUGAAAACGUUGCUAUUGUAAAAGCGUUCUGGCGUCGAACAUGAUGCGUUCAAAUUUACCAUUCCCCCCGAACGCCAUGUGGGGGGUAGGAGGGGUCCUGAUACUUUUUUAGUAUUAAAUCAACAAAUUUCUACUUUCACAGGACACACUGAAGUAUAAAUGGAAGAAGAACAUUUUGUGUCAACACAUAACGGUGCUGUUAUGCCAUAAUUCGAUUUAAAAAGUAGGAGGGUACAAACACAACUACAGUACUGAGGGGUAAUUGUUCGUGCAUACCUCGCCGAGAAUGAAGAGAAAAUUUCGCAGUUCAAGAGAUGACUACUUAUCCUGCACCAUAAAAGUACUUUCAUAUAACUCACAGUUGAUGGAUAACAAGGUUAAAGAGUAGUUAUAACCCAAGGAGACGAAUGUUCUAAAAAAUGGAAGCUCAAAAGACGAAUGUUCUAAAAAAUGGCAGCUCAAAAUCAGUUGUAGACGACUCAAAUCAUAAUCAAAAGUACCUAAGGUAGCAGUGUUACAUGAACACCGACUCGACUAGUAGCAGCAUAUACACAGGGUAUUUUAUGUUUGAUAUUGACUAUCUAAGUGCUAUGAAAGCUGUGGAUCAUCGAAAAUAUUGGUGAUAAACGAGUCAUUGACAUAAGUAUUUUGUAAUUCAGGACAGUGCUUGACUUGAGAAGUUGCAAACGAUGAUUUAAACUGUGUUCAUAAGUCACUAAACUUUGUUGUUACAUACUAAUUUUAAAUAUGACGAACAAUUUGUUUAUGGUUAAAUAUUUGGAUACAUUAAUUUUUGCAAAUUACAAAUGUUAUAUUUUUAAUUUGUCUAACUUGUCAUUUUAAAGUUGCUUCAAUAUUUCACAUUGUAUUGUACUUUUUUUUUUUAAUUUUGCCUCUUUUAAUCAAUUAAAGAUGUUUUUAAUCAAUUUAAUUAUUUGUUUUACAAGACCACAAUAAUGUUUCAGAGAAUAGAACACUUUUUUCUGGAACAUGUAAAAUUGUGUUCCACUAAUACAUGCAUAUGUAUA